rnacentral:rRNA from 1 species
GAUGAACGCUGGCGGCGUGCUUAACACAUGCAAGUCGAACGAAGUGUUUAUUCAAAGUUCUUCGGGAUCGAGAAUAAAUUACUUAGUGGCGGACGGGUGAGUAACGCGUGGGUAACCUGCCUCCCAAAGGGGGAUAACAGUUGGAAACGACUGCUAAUACCGCAUAAGACCACAGCACCGCAUGUUGCCGGGGUAAAAGAUUUAUCGGGUUUAAAUGGACCCGCGUUUGGUUAGAUUGUUGGUGGGGUAAAAGCCUACCAGGUCAAAGAUCCGUAGCCGGACUGGGAGGGGGGUCCGCCCAACUGGGAAUGGGACCCCGCCCCGACACCUACGGGGGGGAGCAGUGGGGAAUAUUGGACAAUGGGCGAAAGCCUGAUCCCGCCAUGCCGCGUGAGUGAAAAAGGGCUUAGGGUUGUAAAGCUCUUAUACCCGGGAAGAAAAUGACAGGAUCGGGAGAAAAAGCCCCGGCUAACCCCGUG